CCUGUAGUCCCAGUUACUGGGGAGGCUGAGGUGGGAGGAUCGCUUAAGCCCAGGAGUUCUGGGCUGCAGUGCGCUAUGCCAAGCAGGUGUCUGCACUAAGUUCAGCAUCAAUAUGGUGACCUCCCGGGAAUGGGGGACCACCAGGUUGCCUGAGGAGGGGUGAACCAGCCCAGGUUGGAAACGAGCAGGUCAAAACUCCUAUGCUGAUCAGUAGUGGAAUCGUGCCUGUGAACAGCCACUGCACUCCAGCCUGGGCAAUAUAGCAGAAGACCUGUAUCUU
ensembl:misc_RNA Metazoa_SRP Metazoan signal recognition particle RNA